ensembl:lncRNA
CUCUUCUAACAUUUAUCAUUUUUCUUUUUUCUCUUAUUAGCCAAUAUGAUAGGGAUGAGGUGGUAACUCAUAAUGAAAAUGGGUGAGUUGUUUUGACUUGUAUAUUCACUUUUUAAUUAUAUAUUUUUUCUAUUACUGCUGUGUUAUUUAUUCUGAGACUUCUCUCUAACCACUCUUUCCCAGAAACAGUUGGAGAAGAAGACCCGAGAGCCACAACAAGGACAAGGCAAUUGAAGCUUUUUCGACAGGAGGAAAAAAAUAAUACAAAUGCAGAUUAAGAUCAGUUUUCUCAAGGCUUGAAGCAAUAAUUCUUGAGGCAGAUCUCUAUACAGCUGGAGGAAGAGAAGAAAAAAGAAAGGUUCUACAACUUCUGGAAGAAAUGCUAGCCUUGUUUGGUUCUGAUCUGAAAUAUCUGGUCUGCUACUACCUACAUAUCCUGAACUCUGCUAUCUUUCUAGGACCUCAAGGCUAACUCAGGUCAGUGAUCUGCAAACUCUCAGAUUCCAAGAGUGUACUCUACUGCAUUACUCUUGCAUUGAGUUUUGUUCAUUCCUUAUCCUGGCCACCUGUUUGAAGAUGAGAGUUGAUAAUUAAAUUAUCAGUAUAAAUGAGCUUGCCAGGGAAGAAAUUCCAGAAAAAGAAAAAGGUCCAAAUAUUAAAUUUGGGUUGAAAAAAAAAGAGCAUUCACCUGUAGGCAUCAGAAGGAGUAAGAGUCAGAGGAGCAGACCAAAAUAGAACUGCAAAAAGAAAAAUAUAAAGGAAUCAUGUGAAGUCAAUAGGUGAGAAAAUACUAUAUAAAAGUGAAGAAAGAUGAGGACUUUUAAAAGGCCCCUUAGACUGAGACAUUUUUCAAUUCAUUGGUGACCUUUAAGUACAGUUUCAGUAAAGUAGAAACACAUGAAAGUGUGUUUAGUUUAAACCAUCUCUUAUAUUAUUUUUAUCACUAGAAAUUAAAGAUAUUUUCAGUAGAAUUUAUUAAGCAUAGGAUAUGAUUGUGGUAUAAAGAAUGAUGAACAGGAUGAUUUCAGAAAGAGCUGUAAAGACCUACAUAAACUGGUGGAGAAUUAAAUCAACAAAAGAAGGAUAACAGUGUACAGAGUAACAGCAAUAUUGUGGAAUGAUCAAGUGUGAUAGACUUAACUAUUGUCUGCAAUAUGAUGAUCUAGAACAAAUCUGAGGGACAUAUGAAAAGAAUACUAUCCAUCUUCUGAAAAAGAAUUGUUGGUGAAAGAAUGCAGAUGAAAGCAAAUGAUUUAUCACUUGUUAAUUUGGGUAUAUGUUUGGGGAUUUGGGUUUUAUAAGCUAU